rnacentral:rRNA from 1 species
CCUACGGGAGGCUGCAGUAAGGAAUAUUGGACAAUGGACGGAAGUCUGAUCCAGCCAUGCCGCGUGAAGGAUGAAGGCGCUCAGCGUUGUAAACUUCUUUUGGACGGGGACAAACCACUCGACGUGUCGGGUGCUGAGGGUACCGUCAGAAUAAGCACCGGCUAACUCCGUGCCAGCAGCCGCGGUAAUACGGAGGGUGCAAGCGUUAUCCGGAAUCACUGGGUUUAAAGGGUGCGUAGGCGGUUUGAUAAGUCAGUUGUGAAAUUCCUCGGCUU